GCGGGCCGAGCAGCCCCUCCCAGCUCCCUUCGAGGCCCGGCCGCCGACCCUCCCUCAGCUGCAAGGCGCGUCCUUGGGGAGGGGCAGCUGCUGCCCUGUUUGCCGGCCACGGAAUCCCGUGGCUCUGGGCUCUACCGGAAGUGGCGGACGCGGGGCCGGGAAGCUGCGGUGCGGGGGCGGCCCGGGGGGUAGCUGGGGACGGGCUCGCUGUCCUGCUUCUCGGCUGUAAUCCGUACGGGUCUGGAGUUCUCUUGGAGGAUGCCAGUGUUCAGUGUGAUAAUAGUCUUAUCCCUGCUCCCGGGAGAGAGCACAGGACAGGAAAUCCACCCCAGCAAGACCCUCUAGAGCCCAGGGCAAAGAGCAACAACGAGGACUUUUCUCCCCAACAUUUUAUUGUGAAAAAUUUUCAAAUAUUCAUCCAAGUUAAAACUUUCUGCAACAGAUUCCUCUACACCCCCAGCUAGAUUCUGUGAACACAUGAGCACAUUCUAACCUGCAAUCUCACAUCCACUGUAUACUGACGACUUAAUAGGGGGUCAGCUGCCCUUGGUUUCAGCCUCCUGUCGCCCUGGCUUAGCAAGAUCACAAAGCCCUAGACAGCAAGGGAAGGAUCUGCCUUCUCCAACGACCUUUGGGUUUACUUCAGAACUUUCUGAAGAGGAGGCUUCUCCCCUCCGUGGCCUUUUAGAGGAAAGAUCCUCAAGGAUAAGAGACUUUUCUUCAGGUGAAUCUAACAGCAGGACUAGGACUCGGUUGACACCUACCUACCUAGGAGGCUCUGGCGAACAGUCCUUCGUGGGUUUGGCUCCUUUCUAGAGGAAAGAGGCUGUUGUCACGUUCGAGCUGUCCCCUCUACCUGGAAAAGCCGCCUCCGGCCCCGAUACCCCACGCCCCCCGGGGGUCUGACCAAAUGUCUGCGGACUUCCACCAGGGCGCCUCCCAUGAGGCGGGGCGGGACGGAGGGUCCACCCGUGAGCCCAGCCUCUCCCCCAGACCCGUAACUUCCUGAGGGAGGGAGGGGACUCUGGCACGCAGUCAACGGUCAGUGGAGGCCGGCU
ensembl:lncRNA